rnacentral:rRNA from 1 species
AUUGAACGCUGGCGGAAUGCUUUACACAUGCAAGUCGAACGGGGUGAGGGGCUUGCUCCUCAUCUAGUGGCGAACGGGUGAGUAAUACAUCGGAACGUACCGUGUAGUGGGGGAUGACGUAGCGAAAGUUGCGCUAAUACCGCAUAUUCUGUGAGCAGGAAAGCAGGGGACCGCAAGGCCUUGCGCUCUUUGAGCGGCCGAUGUCAGAUUAGCUAGUUGGUGAGGUAACGGCUUACCAAGGCGACGAUCCGUAGCGGGUCUGAGAGGAUGAUCCGCCACACUGGGACUGAGACACGGCCCAGACUCCUACGGGAGGCAGCAGUGGGGAAUUUUGGACAAUGGGCGCAAGCCUGAUCCAGCCAUGCCGCGUGAGUGAAGAAGGCCU